rnacentral:rRNA from 1 species
GAUGAACGCUGGCGGCGUGCCUAAUACAUGCAAGUAGAACGCUGAAGGAGGAGCUUGCUCUUCUGGAUGAGUUGCGAACGGGUGAGUAACGCGUAGGUAACCUGCCUGGUAGCGGGGGAUAACUAUUGGAAACGAUAGCUAAUACCGCAUGACAACAGUUAUUGCAUGAUAACUGUUUAAAAGGGGCAACUGCUCCACUACCAGAUGGACCUGCGUUGUUUUAGCUAGUUGGUGAGGUAACGGCUCACCAAGGCGACGAUACAUAGCCGACCUGAGAGGGUGAUCGGCCACACUGGGACUGAGACACGGCCCAGACUCCUACGGGAGGCAGCAGUAGGGAAUCUUCGGCAAUGGACGGAAGUCUGACCGAGCAACGCCGCGUGAGGGAAGAAGGUUUUCGGAUCGGAAAGCUCUGUUGUAAGAGAAGAACGAGUGUGAGAGUGGAAAGUUCACACUGUGACGGUAUCUUACCAGAAAGGGACGGCUAACUACGUG